rnacentral:rRNA from 1 species
UCUGAGAAAAUAUAGAAGGUCCAGCCUGCCCAGUGACAAAGUUAAACGGCCGCGGUACCCUAACCGUGCGAAGGUAGCGCAAUCACUUGUUCUUUAAAUGAGGACUAGUAUGAACGGCAUCACGAGGAUUAUACUGUCUCCCCCCUUUAAUCAGUGAAACUGAUCCCCCCGUGAAGAAGCGGGGAUAAACCUAUAAGACGAGAAGACCCUAUGGAGCUUUAAACUAACACCACCUGUCUACAAACACUUCAUAACAAACAGACAAACCUACGUGCUAAUUUUUGGUUGGGGUGACCGCGGAGCAAAAUAAAACCUCCACGAUGAAAAGACUUUCCCUCUUAAUCCAAGAGCAACAUCUCAAAGAAUUGGUAAACCAACACAACUGAUCCAAAUAACUUUGAUCAACGAAC